GUAAAUUUAAUUUUUAAAAAGUCUCUCCUACAUUUAAAAGCAAAUAUUAACAAGGAUUUUUAUAUCCUAGUAGAGGUAUUGACAUGAUGAGUUUUUUCAGUGUGAAUGAGCUACUUCACAUGGGGGAGGGGAAUACAUUUAUUCAAGCCUUCUGUUCCCCAAACCUUACCCCAGUCACUAGUCAUUUCUUGAAGAGACAGUUGAUUUCUUUUAGUCCCAGAGGCCUUUCAUUUCAAGAGUCUCCUAUUAUAAUUAUUCCUGGGAAAUAUCUUACUUUAAGCAAAGUAGCUAUGUUAGUCUUCUGAGAUGAGAGCAAGAUGCUGAGAAAAACAUGGUGGAAAUCUCCAUUUUGCUGAGAUCAUUCCUGGGAAUGCUACACUCAUUCUUUAUCACAAUGGCCAUAUUACAGUUUUGUUAUCAAUUAUUCACACAGGUGCUCAAGGGGGUGGAGGACAAGAGAUGGUACAAAAUCCUAAUUUCUUAAGCCUGGAAAAGAUUGCAGAAGUCAUUUGGGUCAGAAGAAGGGGCAUGAAACUUGGACAGAUAGGAGGGGCUUUAAAGGUUAAAUGCAGGAUUUUGUGUUUGGGUCUGGAGGUGACCGGCAGCCACUGAACGAGGAAGAACAGGGAAGGAGAACUGGUGACACGGUGACCUUGAGCUCUGAGGAAAUCCCUAAGGCAGUUAAGGAAAAUGGACUGCAGUGGGGAGAGACUUGAGGCAGGGAGACCCAACAGCGCUUCCCAUUCUGGGUGUGAGAGGGUGAGGGCCACGGUAUAUUUGAGAUAUUUGAGAGAUGCUGCAAAGGUUUGGCUUCAAAUGUGCACUGCCAACCUUGCCCACUCCCAAAACCACAGGGCCGAAAAAAAGUGGCCAACAGACCGUGGAUGACUUGGUGAGCUCAGAGCUUCCCUGAGCGGCACUUUGGAGAAAGAGCAGGGCUCAACGACCUUCAAAAGACAUUCACACAAUUCAAAGGGUGCUUUGUUUUAGAAGAUCAAAAGUAAGUGGGAAUGACCAGCAGGAUGAAUUCAGAGAGGACUGGCGAGACUUACAUGAACUGAUACUAAGUGAAAUGAGCAGAACCAGGAGAUCAUUAUAUACCUCAACAACGAUACUGUUUGAGGAUGUAUUCUGAUGGAAGUGGAUCUCUUCGAUAAAGAGAGCUAAUUCAGUUUCAAUUGAUCAAAGAUGGACAGAAGCAGCUACACCCAAAGAAACAACACUGGGAAAUGAAUAUAAACUGCUUGCAUUUUUGUUUUUCUUCCCGGGUUAUUUAUACCUUCUGAAUCCAAUUCUCCCUGUGCAACCAGAGAACUGUUCGGUUCUGCACACAUAUAUUGUAUCUAGGAUAUACUGUAACCUAUUUAACAUGUAUAGGACUGCUUGUCAUCUGGGGGAGGGGGUGGAGGGAGGGAGGGAAAAAAUCAGAACAGAAGUGAGUGCAAGGGAUUAAUGCUGUAAAAAAUUACCCUGGCAUGGGUUCUGUCAAUAAAAAGUUAUUUUAAAAAUAAAUUAAUUAAAAAGUAAUAAUAAUAGCACCUCUAUCAUGGAGUCAUAUCAAAUGAGAGAACAUGUAAAAAGCUAUGCAAAUCUAAAAGUGCUCUCCUGUUUAGUGUCAUUCAUUGUCAUGUAACUUUUCUGACCCUCAGUUUCCUUAUGUUUAUAAUAUGCCAUAUGACAAGCAUAAUAAGCACACAUUAUACUAUCUCGCUUGUGGGGUUAGGAGGUCCAAAUUAAAUCAUGUUUACAGACCCUCUGCAAACUAAUAAUGAUAUUUCCAUAGGAUAUAUUUAUUACUUGUAUUAUGAUUAUUUAGCAAUGAUCCAAGUUCAGAAAGCUAACAGGAAAUUCUGACUCCAAUAUGAAUGAGAGCUGAUAUGAAAGCAGCUUAUCAAAGGGAAAGCAGAGACAUGUAUACAUUCACAUGAUAGUUUGGAUCAGGGAAAGCAUGUGAUACCUAGCCUUAAUAUUAGUUCAAUAAUUAACUCUUAGAUAAUCAGAGACUUUUAAUAAAUAUUAAACAAGUCAAAUGUCAAACCUUGGAGAUAAUGAAAAUUGCAACAGUACAGAAUUAAGUGGCUCCAACAAUAGGCUAUUUUAAUUAAAAUGAAACCAUUAUCCACCCAGUAUAUUUACUGUAGAUCAAUAAUCCCACCAUAUCAGUUAAAAUGGAGGGAUAAAAUGAUUAGCUCUUACAUACAUUUAUCAAUUGUUGCAUUCAUUCAAGUGAUGCUGAGAAGAUCCAAACAAGACUGCUUACUUUUUAUCUACAUAGUGAUCUUGAUGGUACCUUGCCCUUAAAGUGAUGACAGGUUCAAUUUUCUUAGAAGGAAACUGUAAGCACAAUACUGUCUAGACCUAAUCAAUCAUAUUCCAAUGUCACCUGAGCCUCCUGAUCUUAUUCUUCUUGGAAGUUCAGAUGCAGUCCUCAGCUACUUUUUUAAAGCACAAAUUUUAUGAUUUUUGCAUACUAAAUUUAUUAUGUCAUUAAUUCAUAAUAAUAAUUUAACAUAUUUGGUUUUCAGGUAAGAAGGGCCACAGCAGGUUUUUUUUGACCAACAUUUCAAUUUUUUUUUUUUCUGAGGCAAUUUGGGUUAAGUGACACAGGGUCACACAGCUAGGAAAUGUUAAGUGUCUGAGACCAGAUUUGAACUCAGAUCUUCCUAACUUCAGGGCAGUGUUCAAUCCACUGAACCAUCUGGGUGCCCCAACAUUUCAAUUUUUAACACAUUUGUUCAUUAAUAAAAAAGUUCUCAUCUCCAAAAUAUUUCAAAGAUACAACUAAAUGUGUAUUUUAAGUAUUUUAGUGGGCUUUUUACAAGACAACAGAAUUCAGAGAGUGCUACCUUUGGUAAUCUUUAAUGUGCUAUGUACAUAGCUAUCCUGGAAUCCCUAAGGAGCUGAGUGACCUCUACCUGAGCUCAUGAUUCCAAGGACCUGAGAAUAGGGAAGAACUUAGUGAAAAUAGUGUUUUACAGAAGGGAAAGGGCUUAAGAGUAUGUAGGAGUCGUCAAAGUAGUAUGGACAAAUUUGGGUUCACAGUCUACUUGAAUAAGACAUUAGAGGUAGAAUGCAAAUGAGAAGAUAAAAACUGGGAAUAAUGUAUCUCAAAAAAUGCUGAUGAACAUAGGUUUAGCCAAAGGAAAUCGAGUGAGAAGGACAGAACUCGGAGGUAUCCUGGUAAAGGAAGGUAGGUCUUUAACCAGACAAUCAUUCUGCUUCACUUUCAAGUGAGAUGAUGCCGAGGCCAUCCAUGAAAAGGAGAAA